GCAUAUCAAUAAGCGGAGGAAAAGAAACCAACAGGGAUUGCCCUAGUAACGGCGAGUGAAGCGGCAACAGCUCAAAUUUGAAAUCUGGCCCCAGGCCCGAGUUGUAAUUUGCAGAGGAUGCUUUUGGCGACGCGCCUUCCGAGUUCCCUGGAACGGGACGCCAUAGAGGGUGAGAGCCCCGUACGGUCGUGCGCCUAGCCUCUGUAAAGCUCCUUCGACGAGUCGAGUAGUUUGGGAAUGCUGCUCUAAAUGGGAGGUAUACGUCUUCUAAAGCUAAAUACCGGCCAGAGACCGAUAGCGCACAAGUAGAGUGAUCGAAAGAUGAAAAGCACUUUGAAAAGAGGGUUAAAUAGUACGUGAAAUUGCUGAAAGGGAAGCGCUCAUGACCAGACUUGGGCCGGUGAAUCAUCCAGCGUUCUCGCUGGUGCACUUUGCCGGUCCAGGCCAGCAUCAGUUCGCGCCGGGGGAUAAAGGCUUCGGGAAUGUGGCUCCUCCGGGAGUGUUAUAGCCCGUUGCGUAAUACCCUGGGGUGGACUGAGGUACGCGCUCCGCAAGGAUGCUGGCGUAAUGGUCAUCAGCGACCCGUCUUGAAACACGGACCAAGGAGUCGUCUUCGUAUGCGAGUGUUCGGGUGUCAAACCCUUACGCGUAAUGAAAGUGAACGUAGGAGAGAGCUUCGGCGCAUCUCCGACCGAUCCUGAUGUUCUCGGAUGGAUUUGAGUAAGAGCAUACGGGGCCGGACCCGAAAGAAGGUGAACUAUGCCUGUAUAGGGUGAAGCCAGAGGAAACUCUGGUGGAGGCUCGCAGCGGUUCUGACGUGCAAAUCGAUCGUCAAAUAUGGGCAUGGGGGCGAAAGACUAAUCGAACCUUCUAGUAGCUGGUUUCCGUC
rnacentral:rRNA from 1 species